GACAGAGGGGGCAAGCGUUGUUCGGAAUUACUGGGCGUAAAGGGUUCGUAGGUGGCCACCUAAGUCAGACGUGAAAUCCCUCAGCUUAACUGGGGAACUGCGUCUGAUACUGGGUGGCUUGAGUGCAGGAGAGGAAUGCGGAAUUCCAGGUGUAGCGGUGAAAUGCGUAGAUAUCUGGAGGAACACCGGUGGCGAAGGCGGCAUCCUGGGACCGACACUGACGCUGAGGAGCGAAAGCCAGGGGAGCAAACGGG
rnacentral:rRNA from 1 species